UAAUAGUAGUUGUAGAAAUAGUAGUGUGCAUAGCAGUAGAAGUAAUAGUGGUAUAAUAGUAGUAGUAGUAGUAAUAAUAAUAAUAAUAAUAAUAAUAAUAAUAAUAAUAAUAAUAAUAAUAAUAAUAAUAAUAAUGAUAAUAAUAAUAAUAGGGCAACAGUUCACUUUUAUUCAUAAAAUCAUUUUUUUCACCAUCACGUUCAAGUUUUAUUUUAAUGAUUAAAUAAUACAAAGAAGCAUGACAGUUGAACUUAACGCUCAUAUUCUCGAACGCUUCGGGGUCUACACACAUAUUUGUCAAAGAUUUCGUAAGAGUUGUGCAUAUGUCCACGGAUAGUUUUGUGAACCUAGUAAAGGUUGGACAAGGCUUCUUCUGCACCGUCAACGAUGAAGACACUCAUGAGAACCAGACAUAUAUUCCUUGUAACCUUGGAAAUCGUUGUGGUGAGGGCCGAAAGCGUCUGAGAGCAAGGUUCGCUGUGCUGCCGAAAUGUAAACAACAGACGGCGCGCUCUGACUUUGCGCAAGGAAACAAAACAUCGCGAAGUUGAAACGGAGAAUGUGGAUGGAUAAUUUGAAGUGUAGUUUUGAAUCUAUACGAAAAUAUUAUAAGCGUAGUUUUGUGUGUUUAUAAAGAAAGUGUUACAAUCGUUUUCAAGUUCAUAAGCAAAAGUUACAAGAGCAGUUUUCAGUUACCAUGCAGAAAUUGCAAUACUUCAGUUUUCCACUUAUAGGCAGGAGUUACAAGCACAGUGUUGAGCUUACAGGCAAAAAAACAUGAGCGAAGUUUUUGAGGUAAUAGGCAAAAAAUACAAUCACAGUUUUGAAUCUAUAGACAAAAAUUACAAUAAGUUUUCAGUUUAUAAGUAAAAUUUACAGGCGCAGGUUAUUUUUAGUUAUUUAUUGACAAAAAUUACCUCCACAUUUUGAGUUCAUAGGCAAAAAUAGAGAUCGUGCAGCUUAGAAUUUAUAUGCAAAAGUUAAAAGGAAAUAUGCAACGUCAGUGUUGAUUUAUUAGACAGAAAUCUUGACCUGAGAGAUGUCUGUCCGUUAGAGGAAAGCGUACGAAUUUACAUUGCGCAGUUAAACCGAAAUAUCUGAGACAAAUCUAUAGCACGUGGUUGCCAUUUUUUGGAGCUAAUGGGUAUCUAAUUGGGUCCUUUUAGCAGCCCCAGGAGUCGAGGAGAGAGAG